CCUACGGGAGGCAGCAGUGAGGAAUAUUGGUCAAUGGGCGAGAGCCUGAACCAGCCAAGUCGCGUGAAGGAUGACGGAUCUAUGGAUUGUAAACUUCUUUUAUCUGGGAAUAAAGUGCGGCACGUGUUCCUUUUUGUAUGUACCAUAUGAAUAAGCAUCGGCUAACUCCGUGCCAGCAGCCGCGGUAAUCCGGAGGAUGCGAGCGUUAUCCGGAUUUAUUGGGGUUAAAGGGUGCGUAGGUGGUGAAUUAAGUCAGCGGUGAAAGUUUGUGGCUCAACCAUAACAAUGCCGUUGAAACUGGUUGACUUGAGUAUAUUGAAGGUAGGCGGAAUGCGUGGUGUAGCGGUGAAAUGCAUAGAUAUCACGCAGAACUCCGAUUGCGAAGGCAGCUUACUAAACUAUAACUGACACUGAAGCACGAAAUCGUGGGGAUCAAACAGGAUUAGAUACCCGGUAGUC
rnacentral:rRNA from 1 species